UACGAAGGGGGCGAGCGUUGUUCGGAUUUACUGGGCGUAAAGGGCGCGUAGGCGGCGCCGCAAGUCGCGUGUGAAAGCCCCGGGCUCAACCUGGGAAUUGCAUUCGAGACUGCGUAGCUAGGGUGCGGAAGAGGGAAGCGGAAUUUCCGGUGUAGCGGUGAAAUGCGUAGAUAUCGGAAGGAACACCAGUGGCGAAAGCGGCUUCCUGGUCCAGCACCGACGUUCAGGCACGAAAGCGUGGGGAGCAAACAGG
rnacentral:rRNA from 1 species